UGGGGAAUAUUGGGCAAUGGGCGAAAGCCUGACCCAGCAACGCCGCGUGAGGGAAGAAGGGUUUCGGCUCGUAAACCUCUGUCCUAUGGGACGAAGGAAGUGACGGUACCAUAGGAGGAAGCCCCGGCUAACUACGUGCCAGCAGCCGCGGUAAUACGUAGGGGGCGAGCGUUGUCCGGAAUGAUUGGGCGUAAAGGGCGCGUAGGCGGCCUGCUAAGUCUGGAGUGAAAGUCCUGCUUUCAAGGUGGGAAUUGCUUUGGAUACUGGUGGGCUGGAGUGCAGGAGAGGAAAGCGGAAUUACCGGUGUAGCGGUGAAAUGCGUAGAGAUCGGUAGGAACACCAGUGGCGAAGGCGGCUUUCUGGACUGAAACUGACGCUGAGGCGCGAAAGCGUGGGGAGCAAACAGGAUUAGAUACC
rnacentral:rRNA from 1 species